rnacentral:rRNA from 1 species
CAGUCGCCUCGGGAAAACAGAGGGUGCGAGCGUUAAUCGGAUUUACUGGGCGUAAAGCGUGCGUAGGCGGCUAAUUGAGUCGGAUGUGAAAUCCCCGAGCUUAACUUGGGAAUUGCAUUCGAUACUGGUUAGCUAGAGUGUGGGAGAGGAUGGUAGAAUUCCAGGUGUAGCGGUGAAAUGCGUAGAGAUCUGGAGGAAUACCGAUGGCGAAGGCAGCCAUCUGGCCUAACACUGACGCUGAGGUACGAAAGCAUGGGGAGCAAACAGGAUUAGAUACCCCUGUAGUCCCUGUCUCUUAUAC